UAGGGAAUAUUGGUAAUGGGCGAAAGCCUGAACCAGCAACGCCGCGUGUGCGAUGAAGGCCUUCGGGUUGUAAAGCACUUUUACAGGGGAUGAGAAAGGACAGUACCCUGUGAAUAAGUCUCGGCUAACUACGUGCCAGCAGCCGCGGUAACACGUAGGAGACAAGCGUUAUCCGGAUUUACUGGGCGUAAAGCGCGUGCAGGCGGUUCGGUAAGUUGGAUGGGAAAGCUCCCGGCUUAACUGGGAGAGGUCGUUCAAUACUACCGGGCUAGAGGAUGGGAGAGGGAGGUGGAAUUCCGGGUGUAGUGGUGGAAUGCGUAGAUAUCCGGAGGAACACCAGUGGCGAAAGCGGCCUCCUGGCCCAUUUCUGACGCUCAGACGCGAAAGCUAGGGUAGCAAACG
rnacentral:rRNA from 1 species